rnacentral:tRNA from 1 species
GUCUCCUUCGUCUAGCGGUCAGGACAUCGCCCUCUCACGGCGGUAACAUGGGUUCAAGUCCCGUAGGAGACGCCA